GAUGAACGCUAGCGGCAGGCCUAAUACAUGCAAGUCGAACGGUGUCUUCGGACAUAGUGGCGCACGGGUGCGUAACACGUAUGCAACCUACCUUACAUUGGGGGAUAGCCUUUCGAAAGGGAGAUUAAUACCGCAUAAGACAGUAGCUGGGCAUCCAGCAGCUGUUAAAGAUUUAUCGAUGUAAGCUGGGCAUGCGUCCAAUUAGCUAGUUGGUGAGGUAACGGCUCACCAAGGCAAUGAUUGGUAGGGGAACUGAGAGGUCAAUCCCCCACACUGGAGCUGAGAUACGGGCCAGGCUCCUGCAGGAGGCAGCAGUAGGGAAUAUUGGGCACUGGACGCAAGUCUUACCCAGCCAUGCCGCGUGCAGGAUGAAGGCGUUAUGCGUUGUAAACUGCUUUUAUACAGGAAGAAACGACGCUUGCGAGAGGCAUUGACGGUACUGUAUGAAUAAGCACCGGCUAACUCCGUGCCAGCCGCCGCCGUAACAC
rnacentral:rRNA from 1 species